rnacentral:rRNA from 1 species
AUUGAACGCUGGCGGCAGGCCUAACACAUGCAAGUCGAGCGGAUGAAGGGAGCUUGCUCCUGAAUUCAGCGGCGGACGGGUGAGUAAUGCCUAGGAAUCUGCCUGGUAGUGGGGGAUAACGUCCGGAAACGGGCGCUAAUACAGCAUACGUCCUGAGGGAGAAAGUGGGGGAUCUUCGGACCUCACGCUAUCAGACGAGCCUAGGUCGGAUUAGCUAGUUGGUGGGGUAAAGGCCUACCAAGGCGACGAUCCGUAACUGGUCUGAGAGGAUGAUCAGUCACACUGGAACUGAGACACGGUCCAGACUCCUACGGGAGGCAGCAGUGGGGAAUAUUGGACAAUGGGCGAAAGCCUGAUCCAGCCAUGCCGCGUGUGUGAAGAAGGUCUUCGGAUUGUAAAGCACUUUAAGUUGGGAGGAAGGGCAGUAAGUUAAUACCUUGCUGUUUUGACGUUACCAACAGAAUAAGCACCGGCUAACUUCGUG